rnacentral:rRNA from 1 species
UACGGGGGGUGCGAGCGUUGUCCGGAAUCACUGGGCGUAAAGGGCGCGUAGGUGGUCUGAUAAGGGUGUGGUGAAAGCCCGGGGCUCAACCCCGGGUCGGCCGUGCCGACUGUUGGACUAGAGUGCUGUAGGGGCAGGCGGAAUUCCGGGUGUAGCGGUGGAAUGCGUAGAUAUCCGGAAGAACACCGGUGGCGAAGGCGGCCCGCUGGGCAGGAAGGCUCGCAAGAGCCGGCUGACGCUGAGGCGCGACAGCGUGGGGAGCAAACAGG